GACUCUUGGCAAUGAAUAUUUCUUUCUCUUGUUAUGAAAUGAAGAACACAGAAAAAUGCAAAACUUGGUGUGAAUUACAUAAUCAUGUUAAUCAUUGAGUUUUUGAAUGAAACUUUUUUUUGAGAUCCCUUAAAAAUUCCCUAUGGCUGGAUCC
rnacentral:rRNA from 1 species